AUGGCUCAAGUUGUGGGAAGCAGGGAAAUUUCAGAUCAUAAAGUGGCGUGGUUGAAAUCUAGUUUCAUGAAUUGGGGACCCAAAGCCUUCAGAGUCAAUAAUUGGUGGUUCGAACAUAAGGAGUUUUUGGGGUUUGUGAAAAAGGAAUGGGCUUAUUUCCAUCUUAAAGGAAGAAAGUCAUUUGUUUUAAAAGAGAAAUUUAAGUUGCUUAGAGAAAGUUUAAGAAGGUGGAACCUGCAAGUUUUCGGGUGGAUCGACUUAAAGAUUGAAGAGGAUGUGGCGACUAUAAAUAACUUAGAGGAUCAAUCACUGCUAUUUUAG